rnacentral:rRNA from 1 species
UACGUAGGUGGCAAGCGUUAUCCGGAAUUAUUGGGCGUAAAGCGCGCGUAGGCGGUUUUUUAAGUCUGAUGUGAAAGCCCACGGCUCAACCGUGGAGGGUCAUUGGAAACUGGAAAACUUGAGUGCGGAAGAGGAAAGUGGAAUUCCAUGUGUAGCGGUGAAAUGCGCAGAGAUAUGGAGGAACACCAGUGGCGAAGGCGACUUUCUGNGUCUGUAACUGACGCUGAUGUGCGAAAGCGUGGGGAUCAAACAGGAUUAGAUAC